rnacentral:lncRNA from 1 species
AGGAGCUAUAUGACUUACAACUUUUUUUGGUUGUAGACUUAAUAUUUCUGGGUGUGUAAAUUUAAUUCAUGAUUGGAAUAGAAAUGAAAAAUAGAAUUGAAAUUCAUUGGAACGAAUUAUUUAAAAAUAUUUGGUUCAUUAGUAGAAUGAAAAUAGAAAUGAAUAAUUGGGAUAUGUAGGAUUUCAAAAAAUAGGAGGGGGUUAGUAAAUCCUAGGCAUCCUUAGACGGGAGCUAUAUGAUUACAACUUUUUUUGGUUGUAGACUUAAUAUUUUUGGGCGUGUAAAUUUAAUUCAUGAUUGGAAUAAAAAUGAGAAAUGGAAUUGAAAUUCAUCUGAACGAAUCAUUCAAAAAUAUUUGUUCAUUAGUGGUAUGAAAAUAAGAAUGUAUAAUUGGGAUAUGUAGGANUAUAUAUAAAUAAUAUAUAUAAUAUGUACAAUAAGAAAAAAUAUAUUUAAUAAUUUUUUAUUUAUAAAUUUUUCUUUUUUUUCCUUUCAACAAAACUACCAACCAAACAAUCAUAACAGAAAACUAUUUUUUUUUUCCACAAAUCAAACGCUAGAGAGCGUAAAAUUUAUUUUCCUCCGAAAAUUUUUUUCCACCGAAAUUUUUUUUUCACUAUUUUGCGUAGAACCAAACACACCCUAAACACCCAAUUGAAAAUUUUCCCUUUUU